rnacentral:rRNA from 2 species
GCUGGCGGCGUGCCUAAUACAUGCAAGUCGAGCGAACAGAUGAGAAGCUUGCUUCUCUGAUGUUAGCGGCGGACGGGUGAGUAACACGUGGGUAACCUACCUAUAAGACUGGGAUAACUCCGGGAAACCGGGGCUAAUACCGGAUAAUAUUUUGAACCGCAUGGUUCAAUAGUGAAAGACGGUUUCGGCUGUCACUUAUAGAUGGACCCGCGCCGUAUUAGCUAGUUGGUAAGGUAACGGCUUACCAAGGCGACGAUACGUAGCCGACCUGAGAGGNUUAUCGGCCACACUGGAACUGAGACACGGUCCAGACUCCUACGGGAGGCAGCAGUAGGGAAUCUUCCGCAAUGGGCGAAAGCCUGACGGAGCAACGCCGCGUGAGUGAUGAAGGUCUUCGGAUCGUAAAACUCUGUUGUUAGGGAAGAACAAAUUUGUUAGUAAC